rnacentral:rRNA from 1 species
GACGAACGCUGGCGGCGUGCCUAAUACAUGCAAGUAGAACGCUGAAGAGAGGAGCUUGCUCUUCUUGGAUGAGUUGCGAACGGGUGAGUAACGCGUAGGUAACCUGCCUUGUAGCGGGGGAUAACUAUUGGAAACGAUAGCUAAUACCGCAUAACAAUGGAUGACACAUGUCAUUUAUUUGAAAGGGGCAAUUGCUCCACUACAAGAUGGACCUGCGUUGUAUUAGCUAGUAGGUGAGGUAAUGGCUCGCCUAGGCGACGAUACAUAGCCGACCUGAGAGGGUGAUCGGCCACACUGGGACUGAGACACGGCCCAGACUCCUACGGGAGGCAGCAGUAGGGAAUCUUCGGCAAUGGGGGCAACCCUGACCGAGCAACGCCGCGUGAGUGAAGAAGGUUUUCGGAUCGUAAAGCUCUGUUGUAAGUCAAGAACGGGUGUGAGAGUGGAAAGUUCACACUGUGACGGUAGCUUACCAGAAAGGGACGGCUAACUACGUG